rnacentral:rRNA from 1 species
AGAACGAACGCUGGCGGCAUGCCUAACACAUGCAAGUCGAACGAGACCUUCGGGUCUAGUGGCGCACGGGUGCGUAACGCGUGGGAAUCUGCCCUUGGGUACGGAAUAACAGUUAGAAAUGACUGCUAAUACCGUAUAAUGACUUCGGUCCAAAGAUUUAUCGCCCAGGGAUGAGCCCGCGUAGGAUUAGCUUGUUGGUGAGGUAAAAGCUCACCAAGGCGACGAUCCUUAGCUGGUCUGAGAGGAUGAUCAGCCACACCUGGGACUGAGACACGGCCCAGACCUCCGUACGGGAGGCAGCGAGUGGGGAAUAGUUGGACAAGU